rnacentral:lncRNA from 1 species
ACCACGACCGACAUUCUUCCUCAGUUUCUACAACGCACACUUGACAUAGCAUCUGAGGAACAGGUGACGGGCUCACUUCACCUCUAUUGAAUUUCGUGUGCGCACCUUAGUUCAAUAACCUCUUAAGUGCCGCUACCCAUGUUUGGUGCAGCAGGAUCUAAUCCUAAUCUUGAACGACAUCCGCACGAGUCAAAGCGUCAAGCCCAUCUCCUUCACGGGAACCAUUGGUGAGUGAUUUGUUCAUGACCAUCUUGUGGAUUUUAAUUAUCCAUAGUUUUGUCUUAGAUUCCUACUUACCUGGGAGUCACCGCUAUUUUUUUGAGGCAUCUGGUGAGUUUGGAUGUGUGGAUUUUCCUCCCCAUUGUGGACAUUGGAUUGAUGUAUUUUGGAUUGGUCAACUAGCAGUUCUGGACUUUUAUUUUAAACUCCAUGUAUACGGUCUUUGUUAAUAUUUUUUCCCUUUAGGAAUGACGUAUCAAUCUCUGAAUGGCCUUUUCUGUUCUCCACCAGAGCUAAUUUUUUCAUUGUUUUUUGGUGAUUCUUUAAGAAAAGUGGGAUUUGUGCAACUUCUUUUUAAUUUUGUAAAUUACAUGCAAUGAGCUGUUGAUAGGAGUGCUUCAUAUAGUUAGUUGUAAUUUUUUAAAUACGCGUUCAGCUAGAGGUUAACAUUUACAGUCUCAAUGUUGUUAACAAAAUGAAAUUUUACUUAAGCAUUUGGAUACUCAUGCAUUAAUUAUUAUUUUCGCAUCAAGGAUUCCAUACAUAUUAAUAUUUAUAGCCCAAAUGUUGUUAACAAUUUGAAAUUUUAAUCAAGCAUAUGGGUACUUAUAUGUCUAUUAUUUCUCUUUACAUCAAGGAUUUCAAUGGAGUUGCGCUUCUUCAUUUCUCAUAAUUGUUGGUGGAACUAUUCUGCUCAUCCAUAGGUAAGUGCUAAACACUAUCUCUUUCAGUGACAAUAUUUAUGCUUUGGUAAACUCUCUCUCUGAUAUAUUAAUAUUGUUGUUACAAUGUAGAUUGUUUCUGACCCCGUGACAUGGACUUUUGGGUGCUUAUACAUUUAUUAUUUUUC